UGAGAGUUUGAUCCUGGCUCAGGAUGAACGCUGGCGGCGUGUCUAAGGCAUGCAAGUCGUACGAUCCCUUUUAGCUUCGGUUUUUUGGGAUAGUGGCAAACGGGUGAGUAACACAUUGGUAACCUACCUCGAAGUCGUGAAUAACCAGCCGAAAGGUUGGCUAAUACACGAUAAAAAUGGGGGGACAUAAGUCAUUCCCAUUUAAAGCUCCGGCGCUUCGAGAGGGGCCUAUGGUCUAUCAGCUUGUUGGUAGGGUAACGGCCUACCAAGGCCCUGACGGAUAGCGGGUGUGAGAGCAUGGCCCGCCUCACUGGGACUGAGACACUGCCCAGACUCCUACGGGAGGCUGCAGUCAAGAAUCUUCCGCAAUGGCCGCAAGGCUGACGGAGCGACGCCGCGUGAUCGAUGAAGCCCUUCGGGGUGUAAAGAUCUUUUACUAGGGACGAACAAAUGACGGUACCUAGUGAAUAAGGGGCUGCUAAACUCGUGCCAGCAGCAGCGGUAAUACGAGUGCCCCGAGCGUUAUCCGGAUUUAUUGGGCGUAAAGCGUGCGCAGGUGGCUUGUUAAGUUAGUAGUUAAAGCCUAAAGCUCAACUUUGGGACAGCUACUAAAACUAAUAAGCUAGAGGAUGGGAGAGGCAAGCGGAAUUGCUGGUGAAGGGGUAAAAUCCGUUGAUAUCAGCAAGAACACCAAAUGCGAAGGCAGCUUGCUAGAACAUUCCUGACACUGAAGCACGAAAGCGUGGGGAGCGAAGAGGAUUAGAUACCCUCGUAGUCCACGCCGUAAACGCUGGACACUAGGCAUUGGAAGUAUCGACCCUUUCAGUGUCGUUUUAACUAAGCUAACGCGUUAAGUGUCCCGCCUGGGGAGUACGGCCGCAAGGCUAAAACUCAAAGGAAUUGACGGGGACCCGCACAAGCGGUGGAGCAUGUGGUUUAAUUCGACAAUAAGCGAGGAACCUCACCAGGGCUUGACAUCUCCGGAAUCUCGGGUAAUGCCGAGAGUGCCGCAAGGAACCGGAUGACAGGUGCUGCAUGGUUGUCGUCAGCUCGUGUCGUGAGAUGUACGGUUAAGUCCGGUAACGAGCGCAACCCUUGUCCUAUGUUAAAUUUGUCAUAGGAGACUGCCAACUUUAAGUUGGAGGAAGGAGAGGAUGACGUCAAAUCAGCAUGGCUCUUACGCCCUGGGCUACACACGUGCUACAAUGGCCAGUACAAUGGGUUGCUAAGCCUAAAGGUGGAGCUAAUCCCAUCAAAGCUGGUCUCAGUUCGAAUUGAGGUCUGCAACUCGACCUCAUGAAGUUGGAAUCGCUAGUAACCGCGUAUCAGCAACGGCGCGGUGAAUACGUUCUCGGGUCUUGUACACACCGCCCGUCACGUCAAGGGAGCCGGUAGUACCCGAAUAUCGUUGUAGAACGGUAGAAGGUAAGAUCGGUGACAGGGACGAAGUCGUAACAAGGCAUCCGUAGCGGAAGCUGUGGAUGGACCAUCUCCUUUCUA
rnacentral:rRNA from 1 species